UCCGGCGUAGCUCAGUGGUAGAGCGGGUGACUGUUAAUCACCUGGUCGUAGGUUCGAGUCCUACCGCCGGAGCCA
rnacentral:tRNA from 1 species